GUGCUCAUUUUGGCAGCAUCAAUACUAAAAUUGGAAGGAUACAGAGAAGAUUAGCAUGGUCCCUGUGAGAGGAUGACCUGCAAAUCCAUAAAGCAUUCCAUAUUUUU